ACUCCUACGGGAGGCAGCAGUAGGGAAUCUUCCACAAUGGGCGCAAGCCUGAUGGAGCAACACCGCGUGAGUGAAGAAGGGUUUCGGCUCGUAAAGCUCUGUUGUUAAAGAAGAACACGUAUGAGAGUAACUGUUCAUACGUUGACGGUAUUUAACCAGAAAGUCACGGCUAACUACGUGCCAGCAGCCGCGGUAAUACGUAGGUGGCAAGCGUUAUCCGGAUUUAUUGGGCGUAAAGAGAGUGCAGGCGGUUUUCUAAGUCUGAUGUGAAAGCCUUCGGCUUAACCGGAGAAGUGCAUCGGAAACUGGAUAACUUGAGUGCAGAAGAGGGUAGUGGAACUCCAUGUGUAGCGGUGGAAUGCGUAGAUAUAUGGAAGAACACCAGUGGCGAACGGCGGCUACCUGGUCUGCAACUGACGCUGAGACUCGAAAGCAUGGGUAGCGAACAGGAUUAGAUACCCUGGUAGGAUAGCG
rnacentral:rRNA from 1 species